ACGAACGCUGGCGGCUGCUUAACACAUGCAAGUCGAACGGAGUGGCGAACGGGUGAGUAACGCGUGAGCAACCUGCCUAUGACAGUGGGAUAGCCUCGGGAAACCGGGAUUAAUACCGCAUAGUCAUAGAUGGGCUCGAGUCUGCUUAGCUAGUUGGUGAGAUAACAGCCCACCAAGGCGACGAUCAGUAGCAGGUCUGAGAGGAUGGACGAGCACAUUGGAAGUGAGACACGGUGCAAAAUCCUACGAGAGGCAGCAGUGGGGAAUAUUGCACGAUGGGGGAAACCCUGAUGCAGCGACGGCGCGUGAACUAAGGAGGUAUUCGUAUCGUAAAGUUCUGUCCUAUGGGAAGCGGUACCAUAGAAGAAAGCGCCGGCUAAAUACGUGCCAGCAGCCGCGGUAAUUC
rnacentral:rRNA from 1 species